rnacentral:rRNA from 1 species
UACAGAGGGUGCAAGCGUUAAUCGGAAUUACUGGGCGUAAAGCGUGCGCAGACGGUUGCGGAAGUCAGAUGUGAAAGCCCCGGGCUCAACCUGGGAAUUGCAUUUGAGACUGCGUAGCUAGGGUGCGGAAGAGGGAAGCGGAAUUUCCGGUGUAGCGGUGAAAUGCGUAGAUAUCAGGAAGAACACCAACGGCGAAGGCAGCUCGCUGGGACGGUACUGACGCUGAGACGCGAAAGCGUGGGGAGCGAACAGG